CCUACGGGAGGCAGCAGUGGGGAAUAUUGCGCAAUGGGCGAAAGCCUGACGCAGCGACGCCGCGUGAGGGAUGAAGGUCUUCGGAUCGUAAACCUCUGUCAGCAGGGAAGAACGGUCACUGUGCUAAUCAGCAGUGAAUUGACGGUACCUGCAAAGGAAGCACCGGCUAACUCCGUGCCAGCAGCCGCGGUAAUACGGAGGGUGCGAGCGUUAAUCGGAAUUACUGGGCGUAAAGCGCUCGUAGGCGGUAUGUCAAGUCAAGGGGGAAAUCCCCGCGCUCAACGUGGGAACUGCCUUUGAAACUGGCAAACUGGAGUGUGUGAGAGGAUAGUGGAAUUCCAGGUGUAGGAGUGAAAUCCGUAGAGAUCUGGAGGAACAUCAGUGGCGAAGGCGACUAUCUGGCACAUAACUGACGCUGAGGAGCGAAAGCGUGGGUAGCAAACAGGAUUAGAUACCCCAGUAGUC
rnacentral:rRNA from 1 species